rnacentral:rRNA from 1 species
GAUGAACGCUAGCGAUAGGCCUAACACAUGCAAGUCGAGGGGCAGCACAUGACGUAGCAAUACAGAUGGUGGCGACCGGCGCACGGGUGAGUAACACGUAUGCAACCUACCUUUAACACGGGCAUAACCCGGAGAAAUUCGGACUAAUUCCCGAUAAUACAGGGGUCCCGCAUGGGAAUAUUUGUUAAAGAUUUAUUGGUUAAAGAUGGGCAUGCGUUCCAUUAGCUAGUUGGUGAGGUAACGGCUCACCAAGGCAACGAUGGAUAGGGGAACUGAGAGGUUUAUCCCCCACACUGGAACUGAGACACGGUCCAGACUCCUACGGGAGGCAGCAGUGAGGAAUAUUGGUCAAUGGAGGCAACUCCUGAACCAGCCAAGUCGCGUGAAGGAUGAAUGUCCUAUGGAUUGUAAACUUCUUUGUACAGGAAUAAAGUGAGCCACGUGUGGUUUUUGCAUGUACUGUACGAAUAAGGAUCGGCUAACUCCGUGCCAGCAGCCG